rnacentral:rRNA from 1 species
UACGUAGGGUGCGAGCGUUGUCCGGAAUUAUUGGGCGUAAAGAGCUCGUAGGCGGUCUGUCGCGUCUGCUGUGAAAACCCGAGGCUCAACCUCGGGCCUGCAGUGGGUACGGGCAGACUAGAGUGCGGUAGGGGAGAUUGGAAUUCCUGGUGUAGCGGUGGAAUGCGCAGAUAUCAGGAGGAACACCGAUGGCGAAGGCAGAUCUCUGGGCCGAUACUGACGCUGAGGAGCGAAAGCGUGGGGAGCAAACAGG